UUAAGGUCUUCUAGUAAUCAAAUGCACACAAGAACCGCUUCACACUUACAGAUCAAUGGAUCAUAGCACUCGCAGGGAAUAACGAAUGGGUAAUCUAAGUAGUAGGUCAUUACGUCAGUGUGCUAUUACUCGCUUUGUUUACUACUUGGCUACCAUCCACAGUAAGUAAAAAAAUGAAUACAUAAUAAGUUUGGAUGGACACUUUAGACACAAAGUUCUAGCAAGUCUGAAAAGUCAAGGAAACAAAGUAAACAUGAAUGAAGGUUUGCUUGGAAAUCAUAAAGGAAACCAAGGUAUGAAUGGCUGCUAAACACAGGGCCGGCAAUCUGGGGUGUGUGGCGGAUGCUAUGCACUGGGGCCAGUAAAUUGAAGGGUUUCAACAUGAUCAAGAACUAAAAUAAUAUUCUGAAUGGUAAGAGCGUGAUGGAAACAAUAGAGGAAGAAAUUUAACUGGAACAAUCGAUGGUUUUUGAAUUGUACAAAGUUUACAGGCCUAAUGAUAUUGAAAUUGAGCAUUCUCUGCAUGAUUUGAGGCUGAAAUAUGCAAAAAUGAAAAGAAAUUUCAAACAUAUUUUUUCUUUAAAAAAAUACUGAAAUCAAAAAUCUAAAGAUGAUCCCGGAAUGAAAAAUCUACCAGUAGAGGGGCCUGUAAACUGGAGUAUUUUUGUUAUGAAGCAUUCAUGACUUUGUUGCUUCUGCUACCAGAAUAGCAAGGUAUAUGCAUAAACUAUCUAUAUUUGAACUAAAUUAUGUAUAAUGUAGUAUGGUAAUUCAUCAUCAUACUAUUAUCUUUCUCUGUCAGAUACGUCUUAAUUGCAUCUGGGAAACAAUUUUAAUAUUCUGGAACUUUUUGAAUGUAGAAGAAGGACUUUCAUUAUGCCUCCUCUUUUUAUUCUUGCAUUUUAACUCACAUUCUAUAGCUCAUUACUAAUUUUUGAAAUCCAUAUUACAUCAAUGAAAGCCUUCUUAACCCGAAAAAACCUUAGUAACAAUCGGAGUUUUAUUCCACUGUGCCUAGAAGUGUCAAAAUAUUCCUUUAUUUAAAGCUGCUGAGAAGGCUCUUGAUAUUUCUCUGUAUAAUUUUAAUCUUUAUAUUUAUGAGACUAAAUGUAUCAUAAAAUGUUUCUAUUUCAGAUUGUGCUUUUAGAUGUAACUUAAUCCCUUUUUAAUGUAUUCUUAGUAUUGGAACAGAGGUAAUUAAUAAAUUAAAUUUUGCCUGAAAGACUUGAUGGUAGCUUGCAUUAAAUGUGCUGUUUCUCUAUAUUUUGUAAAAGCCCAAAGAGUAUAUAUACAUUCUUGCGGUUUUAAUUCUUAAAUAUCUUUCUUCAUUCUGCCAUAUUUUUUAGGCUACAAAUAAAUUAUUUCUUUUAUACUCACUUUGAAUGAAAUUAGUGAAUUAUAUUUUAAAAUAUAUCAAAAUAGUUAUCUUCAGAAAUUUCUGAUAUCUUUUGUUUUUUAUUUGCCACAUACUUAAUUUUUUUGUAGUUUAAUAAUAAUAGUGUCUAUUUAAAAUAUUUUUGUGAAGUUCAAAUUAAAAUAUUGCACUUUUAAUGGAUUCCCUUUAUGAUGAUCAAAAAGUUGUGGUAUUUAUUGUAUGAUGAGAGACUGAGUGCAAAUUGAACUUUUUUGAUGAUAUUCUUUCAAAGUAAAUAAAUACCUUGUGGAAUCAACAUUGUAGAGAUGCAAAUGAGGAUUACAAGCUACAUAGAAUCUUUCAUUAAUUAUAUUCUUCUUCCCUGUUCUUUUAAAGCCUAAAUAUUGUAUAUAAAUUCUUAAUGGGCAAUAAGCUUUGGAUGCUGUGUAUGGUAUUUCAUAAUUUUGUGUAUAUUUAAAUUAAGUAUUCAUGAUGAGAAAAUUAAGAAAGUUAUGGUCAGAUUUUCAAAUUGUUGAGAUCGGUGCAUUUUUUUAAUUAUCUGACAUAUGCACUUAUUAAAAUGAUUGUGAAAAAUUAAAUUAUUUUUUUCUAUACAUAUUGUAUAAUCUAUUUUCAUUAUUUAAUAAAUAUUUUUUUAUUAAUAAAUUCUUCUAUAAUAUGUUUUAAUAUCUU